CCCCUUACCUGGCAGGAGAUAUACCAUGAAGAAAAAAAAGAGGCUUUCUCAGGAAAAGGAUAACCAUUGGAUAAUCACUGAACUCCAGAUUGCUGAUCCCUGAGAUUUGUCCAAAUGUGGAAUACUCAACUGCACACUUUGUGAUAGUGGGGUAGUGUGUGCAUUCAGCUGUC
rnacentral:snRNA from 1 species